rnacentral:rRNA from 1 species
UACGGGGGGAGCAAGCGUUGUUCGGAUUUACUGGGCGUAAAGGGUGCGUAGGUGGCGGGGCAAGUUGGAUGUGAAAUCCCGGAGCUUAACUCCGGAACUGCAUUCAAUACUGCCUUGCUAGAGUACUGGAGAGGAGAUUGGAAUUUACGGUGUAGCAGUGAAAUGCGUAGAUAUCGUAAGGAAGACCAGUGGCGAAGGCGGAUCUCUGGACAGUUACUGACACUGAGGCACGAAGGCCAGGGGAGCAAACGGG